rnacentral:rRNA from 1 species
CUACGGAGGGUGCAAGCGUUAAUCGGAAUUACUGGGCGUAAAGCGUACGUAGGCGGUUAUUUAAGUCAGAUGUGAAAGCCCCGGGCUUAACUUGGGAACUGCAUUUGAAACUGGGUAACUAGAGUUUAGUAGAGGGGAGUGGAAUUUCAGGUGUAGCGGUGAAAUGCGUAGAGAUCUGAAGGAACACCAGUGGCGAAGGCGACUCCCUGGACUAAAACUGACGCUGAGGUACGAAAGCGUGGGUAGCAAACAGGAUUAGAAACCCGUGUAGUCC